AGAGUAGAGGUUGCGUUGCUUAUUAGUACUCUGUCCGAUGUAUCAGGUACAGAUGAGGGCAGAGGGAAGGAAGAGACGCCGAAGUUCGGUACGUCCUGAGCGUAUCCGUUCUGGGCAUAUGGUUAAGAGCCAUAUGACUGUCAUCCAAGUUGGAUGGGGAGCUACUUAA
rnacentral:ncRNA from 1 species